rnacentral:lncRNA from 1 species
UCCUGCCAAUCCUUCACCCAAAAUUUUCCCAGUCUAAAUUUCUGGAAUUUAGUAACAUUAGGGGAAUAAAUGAUAAACCCUCAUAAGGAAGGUUGGUUUUAAGGGCUAAAAUGGAAACGCGUAAGUUAAAUAUAAACACUUACUUGUAAAUGACUCUUAACAUGGUAAAGAUUGAGUCCAUCUAAAUCCAUCAGGUCCAGAAUAGUCUUCGGUGUUGCUUCUAAAACUAAGAUUUAUGGUCAGUUCUAUGGAUAAUUAAUAGUUACUUUGCUUACCAGCAGCAACGGCAAAACCCCACAGUAACUUAAGAAUUCAGUACUAUUGAGAAAAAUAUAUACACAGUUGAGUUUCAGAGACCAGAAAGCACAAGCCAAAGUUCAGUUCAUGCAUGAGGACUACCCGGUAACACAUGUCAUCCAAAAUAGAAGAAACAAGCAUGAAAUUCUCUAGUAGCAACUUACGAAAGAGCCUGAACAGGAUCCAAUUUUAAAUCACAAAAGAAUAUGGAAAUUACAUAUAAGCAAUUACACAAACAACGACCAUAAAAGCAAUAAACUAGUAGUUAAGAAGAGGUGAAAGGCUAGGUGGUUGUCAUCUAACAAUUAAGGCUAGGUGGUUCUUGUUAUAUCACCAAUGGAUCGUGAAAGUUUCAUAUGGGAUGACUUCAGGUGGAAUGGAAUAUAAUGGAAGUAAUGAAGUGUAGUUUUGAGGGUCAAGGUAAGAAGCAGGAAAAGUAUAAGGCAACUCAAAUGCAUUCCAGUAGCAUUCAAGACCAUCUGCAGCAGCAAGCUGAGUCUCACUCUCAGCUUCAACUGUUUUUCUUUCAUUCAUUGGCACAUCAGUUUGCCAUUCGAAAUAUGAACUCAAAACCAUGGUACGUAGCUAUUGAAAAUGC